rnacentral:other from 1 species
UCUUCCCUGCCCUGUUCGAUCACUACGGCUAUUAUAACCCAACACAUUCUAAUAGAGAGCUUUGCUCCGCCGGCAGAUUGCAGACCUCCCGGCCUCUGGCUGGAAGAAGGGAGCGAGAAACCGGAGGGCAGGCACUCACCUGCUUUUUGAGGCAGGUUAUUAAUCGCCGUUCCCGGCAUGGCGGGGAUUCU